rnacentral:tRNA from 1 species
CAAAGAAUAGUUUAAUUUAGAAUCCUAGCUUUGGGAGU